GAUCUUAACAUAGACGUAAGAUCAAAUGCAAUAGCAUGUCAAACAAUGUGUAACUCCAGUUAUACAAACAUUACUGUAUCUCAUUGGGGAUACGAAGCUCUACACACUUGAAGAUGGUGAAGGAAUAUAAAAAUUAUCUUACAGACAGCAAGUUGAACAUUGUGGGAUGCAUGAGCUAUUGAGGCCUUUGCAGCUUUCUGCUACAUGGAGGCUAGGGCCAGAGUCAAGAUUUAUGCUUUGCAGCACACUGGUCAGCUGUUUUUGCAAAUCAGAUUAAAUGAUUUUUAAAUGAGGCUGAGAGCAUGGGAGAUACUAAUGUGUGUUUCCUUGUGAGCUACUGCAUAAGUUAGGAAAUUGAAAUACAGAAAGAUGAAAAGUGAUUUGCCCAAGCAUAUAGAUCAAAGCUGUGGCAGAACCAGGACUGGAACCUAUAUCUCUCUACUAAUGGUUUUUUUAAAAAAAUAACCUUGUUUCAAAAAUAUUAAAAAGUCACAAGAAAGGUAAACAUGUGGAUAAACAAAAUGAAGAAAAUAAAAAUUAUCCAGUAAUAACAUAUUGGCAUAUGUCUUUCUGGUAUAUUUUCCUGUGUUGUCAUCAUUAUCAUCUCCAUCAUCAUUAUAUCCAUCAUUAUCAUCAUCAUCAUCAUCAUCAUCAUCAUUAUCAUCACCAUAGUGAACAUGUAAUGCUUACCUAGUGCCAGAUGCUGUCUAGGCAUUUUACAUGUGUUACUGGUAACUCAUGUAAUCCUCAUAACAACCUUAUAAGGUGGUUGCUAUUAUCCCCAUGUUACAUAUGAAGAGACAGAAGCAUAAAGAAGUUGCACCGCUGGUAAUUGGCUGGGAUUUGAACUUAAGCAGUCUAACCUUAGAGUAAUGAUUUUAACAACUAUGCUAUAUACAUACAAAUUUACAAAAUAAAACUGGGCUCAGACAAUAAAAA
ensembl:lncRNA CDKN2B-AS1 CDKN2B antisense RNA 1